GUGGUAGUGGCGACGCGCGGCCCCGGGGGUAGGCCGCGCCCGGGCCCCGGCGCCUCGGUGAGGCCCGGGCGGGCAGCGCCUGGGUUCAGCGGCCGGCUGCGGAGGCAGCAGGGCCUAGCGCAGCCGCCGAGCGGACGCGAAAGCCGGCCCGACCCGCGGAGGGGCCGGUGACACCCACCCUCCGUGGGCAUCCCCACGCUGCCGCGACCCGCCGCCAGACCCCAGGCCGGGCGUUCGCUCCCUCGGCUCUGCCGGGAGAGCGUGCCGCCGAGUGCGGCGAGGGCCGUUCCCCCCUCCGCUGGUUCUCGGUAACCAGAAGCAACGCCUCAGAUCCGCUUCAGUGUUAUUAUCAAUUCACCGUCAUCCCGAGAGCGUGAUACUGUAAGAGUUUGGACUGAAAGCUGAACCUACCAGCAAGAUUUCCAAGGAAACUUAUCUUCUCCAGGCUGUGCAAUUGCACUUGAAGAGAAAGCGAAAGAGGCUGCACACAGCUCCUAAAGAAGGGGCAAGUGGUUGGGAAUCCCCCCCCCCCCCCAACAAAAUGCAUUUGGCAAAAUUAUGCUUAAUUCUGGAUUACUCUUUCUCUCUUUUGCUGGAAAUGAAUCUUACCUCACUUGGUCUGAUGAAAAAGUAAAGACUAACAAUGCCUUGAAAA